rnacentral:misc_RNA from 1 species
AAGUCGUAACAAGGUUUCCGUAGGUGAACCUGCGGAAGGAUCAUUAACACGUAUCCAAACGUUAAAAGCCCCCUGUGAACAUUCAUACUCCUGAAAGCCCUCCCGCGCACUCGGCAAUGGACAUCCCUAGUAAAUCAUCGUCUGAAACAGAUUUUGAGUUAGGGACAUCCCCCACCGCGGGACCUGGCGGAGGCUCAAACACUCUGGUGCCCAAGCAUGCAUCAUCUGAAAGUGUUGGUGAAUUGUGCAAGGGCGGCGUCGUCAACGCUCGCUGUAAACCCACACGGCCGGCGACCGGAGUCUUCCCUCGAUCUACUACGAGGCCCUUCAAACCCCCCAAUGCAUGGCAAACGCGCGCGCCUAACGGUUGUACGCACCCCUAAAACCGAACAACUGUUAACAAUGGAUAUCUUGGUUCUC